GACGUAGGGCGCGAGCGUUGUCCGGAUUUAUUGGGCGUAAAGAGCUCGUAGGCGGCUUGUCGCGCGUUUCGUGAAAACCUGCAGCCUCAACUGCAGGCUUGCGGUCGAUACGGGGCAGGCUAGAGUUCGGUAGGGGAGACUGGAAUUCCUGGUGUAGCGGUGAAAUGCGCAGAUAUCAGGAGGAACACCGGUGGCGAAGGCGGGUCUCUGGGCCGAUAUUGACGUGGAGGAGCGAAAGCGUGGGGAGCGAACAGGA
rnacentral:rRNA from 1 species